GGCAUCUUUGGAUAUUACACUUAACUUCUUUCAUUAAAAAUUUUAUUCUCAUCCUUCGAUUUUUAUGGUUAUUUUACAUUUAAUCAUUGCUUUUAUCAAAUAAAAUUUCUAUUGACAUGCUUUAAGUAUCAUUUUGAUCUAUUCAUCCUUCUUAUACCAUGAUUUUGUCUUCUCUCUCUUUUUUUUUUCCUUUUAGAACUACGAUCACCAAGAACUCUUAAUUGUGUAACUCCUAAGCUCUAUACCUUUCCAUCCA
rnacentral:lncRNA from 1 species